ACUCAAAUGAAUAGACGGGGGCUCACACAAGCGGUGGAGCAUGUGGUUCAAUUCGAAGCAACGCGCAGAACCUUACCUGGGCUUGACAUGCCUGGAUUAUCCCCAUGAAAGUGGGGUAGGUCCCGCAAGGGAUACAACAGGCACAGGUGCUGCAUGGCUGUCGUCAGCUCGUGUCGUGAGAUGUCGGGUUAAGUCCCAUAACGAGCGAAACCUUUGCCCUUAGUUACCAGCGGGUUAUGCCGGGGACUCUAAGGGGACUGCCGGUGUCAAACCGGAGGAAGGUGGAGAUGACGUCAAGUCCUCAUGGCCUUUAUGCCCAGGGCCACACACGUGCUACAAUGCCGUCGAUAAAGCGACCCUAAAGCGCAAGCUCCUGGAAAUCGCAAAAAUGACGGCCCAGUUCAGAUUGGGGGCUGCAACCCGCCCCCAUGAAGUUGGAAUCGCUAGUAAUCGCGGAUCAGCUACGCCGCGGUGAAUGUGUUCCUGAGCCUUGCACACACCGCCCGU
rnacentral:rRNA from 1 species